rnacentral:rRNA from 1 species
GUGUCAGCCGCCGCGGUAAUACGUAGGGUCCAAGCGUUAAUCGGAAUUACUGGGCGUAAGGCGUGCGCAGGCGGUUGUGCAAGACCGAUGUGAAAUCCCCGGGCUUAACCUGGGAAUUGCAUUGGUGACUGCACGGCUAGAGUGUGUCAGAGGGGGGUAGAAUUCCACGUGUAGCAGUGAAAUGCGUAGAGAUGUGGAGGAAUACCGAUGGCGAAGGCAGCCCCCUGGGAUAACACUGACGCUCAUGCACGAAAGCGUGGGGAGCAAACAGGAUUAGAUACCCUGGUAGUCCACGCCCUAAACGAUGUCAACUAGGUUGUUGGGAGGGUUUCUUCUCAGUAACGUAGCUAACGCGUGAAGUUGACCGCCUGGGGAGUUCGGCCGCAAGGUUGAAACUCAAAGGAAUUGACGG